GCCGGGGUGGCGGAAUGGCAGACGCGGCGGACUUAAAAUCCGCUUGAGUAAUCCUCAGUGGGGGUUCGAGUCCCCCCCUCGGCA
rnacentral:tRNA from 1 species